UACGUAGGUGGCUAGCGUUGUCCGGAUUUACUGGGCGUAAAGAGCGCGCAGGCGGUCGUUCAAGUCGAGUGUGAAAGCCCCCGGCUCAACUGGGGAGGGUCACGCGAUACUGUUCGACUCGAAGGCAGGAGAGGGAAGCGGAAUUCCCGGUGUAGUGGUGAAAUGCGUAGAUAUCGGGAGGAACACCAGUGGCGAAGGCGGCUUCCUGGCCUGUUCUUGACGCUGAGGCGCGAAAGCUAGGGUAGCAAACGGG
rnacentral:rRNA from 1 species